UACAGAGGGGGCAAGCGUUAUUCGGAAUUAUUGGGCGUAAAGGGCGCGUAGGCGGCUUUGCAAGUGACGGGUGAAAGCCCUCGGCUUAACCGAGGAACUGCCUGUCAGACUGUGAGGCUUGAGACCAGGAGAGGUGAGUGGAAUUCCCAGUGUAGCGGUGGAAUGCGUAGAUAUUGGGAGGAACACCAGUGGCGAAGGCGGCUCACUGGACUGGUACUGACGCUGAGGUGCGAAAGCGUGGGGAGCAAACAGG
rnacentral:rRNA from 1 species